rnacentral:tRNA from 1 species
GCCCGAGGGGUGUAGUGGUUUAGAUGUUGGACUAGGACUCUGGAGACCAGGGUUUGAAUCCCCACUUGGCCA